rnacentral:rRNA from 1 species
GUUCGAGGUGGAAGCGUAGUGAUACGUGGAGCUGACGAAUACUAAUCGAUCGAAGACUUAAUCAA